UGCAGUUAAAAAGCUCGUAGUCGGAUUUUGGCAUCACGCCGAACUGUCAGCCGAUCGGUUUGUACGGUUUGGCGGGUGCUCUCCUUCCGGAAGCUCGUUCCCUUCUUAGUUGACGGGUUCGAUGGUUCCGGGUCUUUUACUUUGAAAAAAUUAGAGUGUUCAAAGCAGGCCUAUGCUCUGAAUAGGUUAGCAUGGAAUAAUAGAAUAGGACUUUGGUUCUAUUUUGUUGGUUUCUAGGACCGAAGUAAUGAUUAAUAGGGAUAGUUGGGGGCAUUAGUAUUUAAUUGUCAGAGGUGAAAUUCUCGGAUUUGUUAAAGACUAACUUAUGCGAAAGCAUUUGCCAAGGAUGUUUUCAUUAAUCAAGAACGAAAGUUAGGGGAUCGAAGACGAUCAGAUACCGUCGUAGUCUUAACCAUAAACUAUGCCGACUAGGGAUCUGGAGGCGUUAUUUUAUACGACCCUUCAGGCACCUUAUGAGAAAUCAAAGUCUAUGGGUUCCGGGGGGAGUAUGGUCGCAAGGCUGAAACU
rnacentral:rRNA from 1 species